AUUGAACGCUGGCGGCAGGCCUAACACAUGCAAGUCGAACGAGUGGCGGACGGGUGAGUAAUGUCUGGGAAACUGCCCGAUGGAGGGGGAUAACUACUGGAAACGGUAGCUAAUACCGCAUACCAUCGGAUGUGCCCAGAUGGGAUUAGCUAGUGGGUGGGGUAAGGGCUCACCUAGGCGACGAGCCCUAACUGGUCUGAGAGGAUGACCAGCCAAACUGGCACUGGGACACGGUCCAGACCCCUACGGGAGGCAGCAGUGGGGAAUAUUGAAGAAUGGGAGCAAGCCGGAUGCAGCCAUGCCGCGGGUAUCAAGAAGGCCUUCGGGUUGUAAAGUACUUUCAGCGAGGAGGCGUUACUCGCAGAAGAAGCACCGGCUAACUCCGUGCCAGCCGCCGCGGUAAUAC
rnacentral:rRNA from 1 species